UGAUAGUGCAGCCCUAAGUGGGUGGUAAACUCCAUCUAAGGCUAAAUAUGACCACGAGACCGAUAGCGAACAAGUACCGUGAGGGAAAGUUGAAAAGCACUUUGAAGAGAGAGUUCAAGAGUACGUGAAACCGUUUAGGGGUAAACCUGAGAAACCCGAAAGGUCGAAGGGAGAAAUUCAUUCGCGUUUCGCAGUCGGCGUGAGGCGAUCGAGUGACGGAAUGCGUCUUCGGAUGUUUUCUGCACCUUUYGUUUUUCGAUCCGAUAGCGAACGCGUGCACUUUUCUCCUGGUAGGACGUCGCGAUCCGUUGGGUGUCGGUCUACGGCUCACGGUGGAGMCCGGAUGUACGGCUUGCCGUCACGUCCGGACCCGUGUGUCCCGGCUGACUCGCUCGACGGUAUACGAAAGGUUUAAGGCCGCUCUCGCGAGCGUUCGGCUCGUCGCAAGCGCGUUAAAUG
rnacentral:rRNA from 1 species